rnacentral:lncRNA from 1 species
ACUACAACAAAAACGGUCUAUAGCGACACUUUUAAAUGUAGGUAUAUGUCAAAAAAGUGCUGCUAGUUAAAAUUACCGACACUUUUAAAAAGUGUUGCUAUAUGUGGGGUCGCUAGGUAUAUAGUGACAGUUAAAGAGUGUCGCUAUAAUCUAAAAGAAUGCUGCUAAUUUACCAACACUUAUUAAAGCAUUUAGCAACCGCCGAAACUCUAUCUCGUCAGCUGUGGUGGCGGAGGAGAACAACAGGAAAGGCUCUUCGUCUACAAUUUCAGUGGAUUGAGUGAAGAAAGAAGAAAAUAUGGUAAUUGAUUUUUCUUUUUUUUUUUUCUUUUAUGUUUGUAAUCGGGCCAAAUAGACUGGGUGUGGUGGGUUGAGUAGAGUAAUCUGUUAUUUUUUGUUGGAUUGGGCUUUAUAUUUAGGCAUUAGUAGAUUUUUUUUUAAGUUUUAGCAUAAAUGAGACACUUACUCAAAAGUGUCCCAAACAUGUGUCCCUAUAACCUAAUUCUGUUGUAGUGUAUAUGUAAUACAUACGUAUGUAUGUAUAUGCUAGCUAUAUAUAUACUUGCAUGUAUAUCAAGUAGCAGUGCAGUGUACUACUCCAAGGACUCUUCUCACAAUAGAGGACAACCCCAAGAGGUCCAAGAAUGGUCCAGAAUGAAGGCAGCAACAGCAUGUUAUGCAAUGUAUGUAGGGCAAAUGCAGGUCUGCUCUUACUGCCGGCAUAUAGUCAGAUGAAGCUGUACCAGCUGCUAAUGCUUUUGAUGUGUAUUAGCAUUCCCUUUUGGAAAAGGAAAAUGCUAUCUGUACACUCUUUAUAAAGUGUACAUUUUACACCUUAUGUCUAAGCGCUAUCCAACUCCUUUAAUUAGGGUCUUAGUUAAAAGAAUAAUAAUAAUUUGAUAAGACAAAUCAUUUAAUAAUAUAGACCAGGAGAGAGCUAUGGGUGUAAGAUUUACAUCUACUUCUACUUGUUCGAUGUACAGAUAGGCAUUAAUUGCUUUUUUCUUUUUAUUGAGCUCUUUUCAUUAUAGCGUCUACCAGUGACCUCCUUUUAGUACAUUUAAGAAAAACCCCUGUGAAGUCAUCUAAAAAUUAGCAACGUACAUUUCACUUAUAAGAAGAAAAAAAAUGUGAGAAAAAUUUUAUUUCGAGAUUAGGAUAUGAUAUGGUAGAACCAAUUUUACUAUGGAACUUUUGUUUCAUUGAGUCUGAUCGAAUCCACUAAUUAUUUAUCAUGAAUCUCUCACUUAAAGUAAAUUCCUCUUCGAUAAUAACGAAUUAAACAAUUAAAUAUUUCUUGCAAUUAACUAUUACAAUGCUUUAUCAGUAUAGUGGUUCUGCUUUAUUUUUUCUUAGUCAAUUUUGGGUUGGGUACAAUAAAAAUGACCAUUAUGCAAAUUAAGCAUUUUGAGAUGGACACAUAAAUGGUUCUACAAUCUAGUUAACCUUAUAACCUAUUUGAUUUUAGUAUUUAAUGAUAUUUUAAACUUUUUUAUUUUGCAUUUAACAAAAUAUUCUAUUGUUUGAUGUUUUUUUUUUUUAAUUUGUGUAACGUAAACUAUUUAAUUCACCUAUAAUUAUUUGAAUAUAAAAAAAGGGUAAACUUCAAAUACCACUUCUGUCAUUCUGUGGUUUUGCACUUUCUCACUUUAGUACCCUGUGAUUUAAAGUGUAUCAAGUUAGUAUUCAGUGGUUACAAUUUUAUCUUUUCGUCAGCUUUUUCGUUAAUAUUUCGUUAAAUUAUAUACAAAAAACUUCAGAUACCCUACUUAGGUUUAUCAAAUAUUCACUUUAAUAUCCUUUAGUUUUAACUUUGUCACUGUUUUAAUGAAAAAAAUUAGUAAAAUUGAUAAUAAAAAGAUAAAAAUGAAACUACAGAACACUAAAUUAAUACACUUUAAACUAUAGGGUAUAAAAAGUGAGAAAGUGUGAAACCACAGGGGUGGUAAUUGAAGUUUUUCCUAAAAAAUAUAUAUAAAUUAAUUAGCUAGCAGUAUCAAAAUUUGUUAAACUUAGGUAAGCUAGCAUUUCAAAUGCUCUAUACCCUUCUCUUUAAAGCCAAAUAUGGGAGUCUAACUUAACCUAAAUCCAUUACCUAUUCUUACAAAAAAAAGAAACUUCGAACUGUUUUAAUGUUCUAAUGUUCCUUGCAACCUAAUGUGUCCUUCCGCCACAGAAUUUGAAGAAAAACUUUCAUCUUAUUGAGCAAAAAAAGAUGUAAGUUUAGCUUUUUAGCUCUAAUUAAAUUAGUAUGAGAAAUCUUGUAAUAAUGCCAAUUAUUGGAUGACAUAUUAAACCAACAGAUUAGGAAACUUAAAUUGUUUAAGUGUUUUUUCAUUAUAAUCAUCUAAUUUGAUAGAAAUUAGGAAAAAUUUUAAUAGAUUAGUUAGUUUUAUUAUAAUCAUCAUAUUUGAUCGAAAAAUACGAAGAAUUUUAAUAGAUUAGUUAAGUUUAGUUUAUUAAAAUUUUAAUUAAUUUAAAAAACUUAAAUAAUUUAAAAUUUUAUUUUAUAAUAGCUAUUUUAUGUAUGGAUCUACUUUGAGAAUAUAAGGACAUUUUUGGCAAAAAAAUACUUGAUAUAUAUGCCUAAAAGUUCUACUCACUCUUUAAUGAACGAAGAUGUUCAAAAUGGGCUUUUUUUUGCAAUUGGCCCCCUAGAAAAAAUUAAUUUUAAAAAUAGCUCCAGCAAAUUUAUAUUUGCAAAAAUAGCCCUGACCCUACCACGCAAGCGCCACGUCAGCGCCAUGCGGGCGGGACUGCGGCCAGAUGGUUAAGUUGAACACGGUGAACCAUUCACCGUGUUCACUUUGUAUUACUAACCCGCCCAAGCUCCCACCCUCCUCUCUCGCUCGAUCUCUAUCUCUCUCUCUCUGUGGCUCGCCCCGACGCCGCCGCCACCGGCCUCUCUCGCUCGAUCUCUAUCCCCACCCGCAUUCUCUCUCUAACCUACUACUCCCUACCGCUCUCUCUCUAUCUGCCCCCCUCUCACUGUGCGCCCCCCUCCACAGAACCCUCCCCUCUCUCUCUCUCGUAGUUUUUUCUCACUAAUCAUUCUCCCUUUUUGUCUCUCUCACAGAUCACUCUCUCUCUCUGUUAUCUUUCCCUUGCCUCCAGAGCUCUUGAUCGGCAUAGAAGUCGGCCCGACCGUGAUUGCAAAAUGUUAAUUCCAUCUCUCAUCCUCUCAUUUGUUAUAUGUUAGAAAUGUGUUAUGUUAAUAUGUCAUGAGUGUAAUAAUUUUGUACAUAUUAUUAUAUUACUUUAGAACUCUAUGGCCGGCGAAUGUGUUCCUUUCUAUAUCCAUUGGGACGAAAAUUUAGUCGUGAACAAUAAUGUACCACGAUAUAUUGGUGGCCGUAAAAAAUUGGUUGCUUUCCAAUGCGAUAUCUCAUUUCGGGAAUUUGAGAUGGAAAUAUAUAAUAUUACUAACUAUGAUUGAGUAGAAGACCGUCUCCGCAUAAUGGUUCGAUGUCCAAUGGGAGCCAACAAAUGGAAAUUAGUUGACGUAUCAAGUGACAAUGCACUAAUUGGUGUGAUGAGUUUUUUUCUAUUCCAUGAAUGUAUAAAAUUAUUCGUGGAGAAACAUGUGUCGACGACACAAGACCGUCCAAGUACCGUUAAUUAUACGAAAAUGCGUAGUAGCGAUUAUCAAAGGAAUUACGUCAAUCGCGAACGAGAUCGUACAUCAAGAUAUAAAGUAAUGAUCUUUAUAAUUAUUUUUCAUAAUUCCUCAAUUAGUUCAGGUGCGUGAAAUUAAUAACUUUGUCUUGUAAAUAUUACAGAGAGUUUAGAGUUCCAUGUGUGCCAAUUAGCGCAUCAUUGCCAUCUAUAUGAUAGAUCCGUCUCCGUUGGUUGGUCAAAAUGAGCGGUAGGUGAUUGUAUGAUUUAGCUACAUGAAAAUUGGACCAAUGCAAAUAGUUAAUCUUAAAUAUCUUUGCAGGUUUACUAUCCCUCAUAAUCAAAGUGAAGGUCCAUCAUCUAGUGUUCGUGAAUGAACCGAUUGGGAAGUGAGAACUACAAUUGAUAAUGAUGGCGUAAAUAAAAGUGAUGAAGAGUAUAUUAUUGAAAGUGAUGAAGAGGAUCAAAGGCGAAUUGAUGCUGAUUCUAGUGAUGAUGAUGAAUCCUUUGUUCCGCAUUCUUUGGAUCUUGAUCAUGACAGUGAUUUGAAUGCACUUGCAUGCGCCAUUCGAAAUGAAGGUGUUGAAUGGAUUGAAAAUUCAAAUGUCAACAACGAUAAUGUACUGGAUCCGGUGGAAUUCGAUGAAUUUGAAGAUCAACGACAACGGUUUCUCUUGGGUGAUGAAUUAAUUCAUCAAUCCAUUGUUGAUGCAUAUACCGAACAAAAUAUUGAUCAAGGUCUUCCAAGUAAUGAGGCAUGGGCUAAUCGGACAUUUUAUGAUGCCUUGGUGAAUGCUUUGAAAGCUUGGCACAUUGCACAUAAUAUGCAGCUUAAAGUUGUUAAGUCGAAUACAACUAGAUACACUGUGAGAUGUGUGGUCGAUUCUUGCUCAUGGAGAUUACAUGCCUCUCAACCGAAAGAUCGUUCAUUUUUUAAAGUAAAAACUUAUAGAGGUCCACACACAUGAAUGAUUCCAAUUCUGAAUACAACGCAUCGAAACUGUACAUUCUCUUUCAUAUAUCAAUUUAUACUACUUACACUGAAAGCAAGGCUUACUAUGAGUCCUAUGAAAAUUCAAUCUUGAGUUCAGAGUGAGAUGCACGUUAGCAUAUCAUAUAGCAAGGCUUGGUGGGUCCAGAAUAAAGCAUUACAAAUUAUAUACGGUAGUUGGGAGCAAUCAUACUGCGACUUUCCUCGAUACUUCUCCAUAUUAGAAGCAACAAAUUCUGAAACUAUUACGAAGAUUGAUUUUAUUAGGGUGACGAGCACAACUAGAAUGUUUUCACAAGCCUUUUGGGCUUUUGGACCGUGUGUUGUAUCACUACUGAACACGGUGAACCAUUCACCGUGUCUAAACACGGUGAACCAUUCACCAUGUUUAGACACGGUGAAUCGUUCCCCGUGUCUAGUGUAUUACCUCCCCGCCUUGUAUAUUUGACUUGGACUGCAAGUCUAAGCCACAUAGUAAAUACAGUUUGGACACGGUGAACCAUUCACCGUGUCUAUACACGGUGAACAAUUCACCGUGCUUAACUUAACUAACUGACCCGCAUGGCGCUGACAUAGCACUUGCGUGGCAGGGUCAGGGCCACUUUUGCAAAUAUAAAUUUUCUGGUGCUGUUUUUAAAAUUAAUUUUUUCCAGGGGGCCAAUUGCAAAAUAAGGUCGUUCAAAAUUGAUAUUUUCUAAUAGCCUGCACGAUCUGUUUACUCGCUUAACAGUGUAUAACAAUCCUAAAUUUGGUGAAUUUUUAAUAGAAAAUUCUUUACAUUAUUUAGAUCACUUUCGACAACUCCGGUCUUGAUGAAGAAUCCUAACUAUUAUUUUCACAAUGUUAUUCAUUUUUUGACGGUUCAUUUUGUGGUCUGUUGAUGGACUUGAUAGCAAGGAUUGAAAAUGAAAAAAAUUCAAUUUUCUAAACAUUUCAAUUACUCUAAAUUAUGUUUAACAGUGUCAAUCGUUGAUUCAAAUGCUCUAUCUUCAAAAGUAACUCCAUAAUGUAUACCCUUAAGAGUGUAUAUAUGAGCUAGGCUGGUAUACUAUCGGUAGCACGGAGGCCUCCGUGCUACCAAGUUGUUUUCAAUAAUGCGGCUUUCAAAUUGACGAUCAGCUCCGUUAGACGUGAUCUACACUAUUAAAAGUAUUUGAAAAUUAAAUUUCAUAAUUUUUUCGACAUCAUUUGGCUAGUGAUCAAAAGGUUUCAAAAUUGACAAUUUUAAUGGGAGAUGCGAUGCGUUUGUGAAUUUAACGGUGUAAAACAAUCGAAAUCUGAUGUAAUUUUUAUAGAAAAUUUUUUUCACUAUUUAAAGUAAGAUCAGUACAUAUGAUCUUAAAUUCAAGUUUUUUUUCAUCAUUUUUUAGAAGAUUUUUAUUUUCAGUCGUUCAUUUUUAGACUACUCGUUUGAUAGGUAAAUGAUGUUGAAAAUUUAUGAAAUUUAGUUUCCAAAUACUUUCAAUAGUGUAGAUCAAGUCUAACGAAGCCGAUUGUCAAUUUGGAAACCGCAUCAUUGAAAACAACUUGGUAGCACGGAGGCCUCCGUGUGACCAAUAGUAUACCAGCCUAGCUCUAUAAAUAUAUGAAUCCGGCUAUUAUACUCUUAUGAGUACGAUCGCCCUCGUACUCAUAAGUUGUUUUCAAUGAUAGAGCUUCCGAAUUGACGAUCCAUACCGUUAAACAUUAUCUAGAGCAUUUUAAACGUCUAGAAAUUAAAUUUUAUAAUUUUUCGAUAUUAUUUACCUUAUGAUCAAAAGGUCACAAAAUUGAUAAUUUUUAACGGCCGAUAUGGGAUAUUUGCUAGUUUAACGGUGUAAAAGAAUCGAAAUAGGAUGAAUUUUUGAUAGAAAAUUCUAUUCACUACACAGAUAAAGAUCAAUAACUCCGAUCUUAAAUGGAAGGAUCCGAUCAUGCUUUUUUAAGACAUCAUUCGAUUUUGACCGUUCAUUUUAUACCCGCUUGAUGAACUUUAUUAUGAUUUCGAAAAAUUGUGAAAUUUAUUUUCUAGAAGUUUAAAAUACUCUAGAUUAUAUUUAACGGAGUGGAUCGUCGAUUCGGAAGCUCCAUCAUUGAAAACAACUUAUGAGUAUAAAGGGCUCUAUACUCAUAAGAGUAUAGUAGCCCUAGCCCAUAUAUAAUUUUUUUACCGUAGAUCUACGCCUUUGAUCAGUUUAUCCGUUAGAUAAUACUAUUCAACCAACUCACCGCUUCAAGACCCUUGAGGGCCCACAUCAUCCUAACCGCACAUUUCUUAAUCCAAGGCCGAAAAUUACAAGCACCAAUGACUUUGAUACUUUUAAAAGCAUAGGAGCUCAAUUUAUAUUAUAUAAUAUAUAUAUAUAUAUAUAUAUAUAUAUAUAUAUAUAUAUAUAUAUAUAUAUAUAUAUAUGGGUUCAGCUGGAAUGCUUCCAGAAGUAAAUAGGGGAGAUUACCUAUGCUUCAUUUCCAACAAUAGAGAAUCCGAAUUGAUGAUCUACAUGGUUAAGUUUGAUCUAGGCUAUUUGUACUUCUUAGGUUUCAAAUUUUAUAAUUUUACAACAUUAUUUACCUAGCAUUCGUGUAGUCUAAAAAUUAACAUUUCCUAGUGACUAGUGUAAAGUGAUUUGAGAUUACUUGAUCACUAGGCAUUAGUAGACAAGUGACAGCCUAAAAUUGCAAAAUUCGAAUCCUAAUUAAGAAGUUCAAAUAGCUAGGUUAUGAAUAUAUAUACACACACGAAUUGAAAAGAUGUUCAAAUAGUAAUGGUUACAAUCAUAUUUUAAUUAUAUUGUAAGAUAUUUAAUAAGUCAAAAGGUUAAGAAAAUAUUUCUAUAUUGUUGCAUUAAUUAGUUUCUAAAUCUCAUUCAUAUGAAAUAGUUAUAGAAACCAGUGAAGUAGAAUUAUGAUAAAAUUAUAUGCUAAAAUCAGGUAUAUAGUUUUUGACUAUUAUUUUUCUAAAGAAUAGAUUAAGAUACUAAUAUGAAAAAAUAAAAAUAAACACCUUAUAUGAAACAAAAUACAACCUUAUUUUUAGUCAAUGUUGUAAUAUGCAAAUUAAUAUUAUACUUUCAUAUAUAUAUAUAUGCCCCUCUUUUUAAUUUCUGUGAGCCUGCUUGGCCAAAACAGAUAGGAAUAUAUGAAAGAAAUAAAAACACUAGUUGCAUUCAUAAAGUUAAUUGAUUUUCUAUCAAUAGAUUAUCUGCCGUAAAUAAAAUAGUCAUUCAAGAUAAUCUAUAUAAGACUGUAGGUGAUAAGAACACUACUACUAUCAUGAUUGUUAGUUUCUCUUUUUCUCCAUUUAACAUAUCAUUAGAAAGUCCUUAAAAGAGCCAAAAAGUAAAAGAUGAACCAUCAUUACGAUUAGAACUAGUAAGAGCCAGAUUUAUUUUCUUUUGGCAUCCUUUUUACUGUACUGUGACAUAUUUAUUGCAUCUUGAACUAUCAACGAGAGUCAUAUAAAUUAAAGCAACCAACUUAUUCAAAUUUCAACAGGGAAGAAUCGGACAUGAAGACCUAAAUUACAAGUUGCGAAUAUUCACAAUUUCAUGUGAUUGAAUAUGUCGUUUUUAAUCUUGUCACUAAUCAUCAAUUUACUUACGAUUUACCCAUGCUAGCGGUACAGAAUGAUGUUAAUUUUUUAAAAAAAUAUAUAUACAAGCAAAAAAAUUAUUGCCAAAUUUCGUUGCAAACCAUCCGUUAUCCACUCGCACACUCCAUCACACAACAUUUGAACCAAAGAAAAACGAAGCACCAGUACUAAUCAAGCCUAAUUCAUUUAAAAAAAAAUAAGAAAAGGAAUUAAUUUACGAGGAUGUCAAAAAUAACUUACCAUGUGGAAGCAAUAAGCAAACUAAGGGCAUGCACCUCAACUUGGCGUACAUAUUUCACGGUAGUACGAGAUACUUAGGUUACUUAAUUAGUCGCUCAUUGCUGAUGCAGCAUCAUCAAGAUUCUCAUGCAUGUUUCCAUGAUAGUAAUUAAUCAGGUUGCAGCUGAUGAGCUGAAGCACUCCAUGUGAAUCUUGAUGAUGCCACACCUGCAAAUACCGACUUUUCGUCCAUCGAAUCUGUUGCAGGUGUGUGUGUGUGAGAGAGAGAAAGAAGAGGGCUGCAGGCUCAGAUCUUUCGCAAGUGAAUCUUACGAAAGAAAGGGAAAAAUAUAUAAGAGAAAGGAUGCACAAGAGAAGGCUGUGGAAACAACAGAGAGAGGCCGAGAAACGCUGAUACAAAUGGCUAUUAAUCUUCAUUAACUGUACUAUGCUGGUCGCGACUUUUGUUCUCUCUACUUUUUAACUUUAACACUUUUAUUUAGAUGUGAUGUUCACAUCAUCAUAUUAGAAAAAAAAAAAAUCUUAAUUUUCUUGUAUAACAGCGCUUUAUCUUUUUUGUUUGUAAAUUAUGAUAAAUACAUUUUAAAGGAACGAUAGUGUGACAGACAAAAAGGUUUAAAAAUAAAAAUAUUUAAGUAGAAAGUGUAGAGACCAAGUUAUGAUCGAGCCCCGGGCGAGAAGUAGAGGGCCGCAAAGUGGCGGUACCUGUUGUGGGCCCCACACUUUCCCCACCCCCCCUCCCAAGUGCCCCAUCACGCUCACGAAGAGCUGAUUUAUAAGAUAUUUUAUCGCCGACCAUCCCUGGCACGAGUGACUAAGAACUUGGUGGUUCGUACCUAAGUUACUUUACAUCUCCAAUUAAGUUUAUUUCUAAAAGAAAUAAACAAAAGCAGGUAGCAUGUUACUUUUCUCUCAAAAAAAGAAAAAAAAAAGAAGAAGAAGAUAUUUUAACACCAACUAAUCCCCACCUCCUCCAAAACCAACCACAACUUAAUUACCUAUGUCAAUAUAUAUUAUACAACCAAUUUAUAUCUAUACAUACGUAGUACAAAAACAAAGAUACUAGGUUAUACGUACAUACCAGGAGGAGAAAGAUCAGAGAAUUAUAUUUCCCAGCUGCACCAGGUGCAUGUUUCCGUAUGCCUCUUCACUGAAUGCAAUAUUUUAAUAAUUAGUAACCUACAGAUGAAAGGUAAUCCUAUAGAUGCAAUCUACACUAUCUAAAAGGUCUAGAUUUAAAACUUUGUAUGAUUUUAAAAAAAAGAAAUAUAUUUCUACGGCAUUAUGUAGUCUGAAUAAAUAAAAAUAUUCUUUAAUUUGUAAGAGAUAAGUUUUCAAAAUUUAUGACUUUUUAUAACUAAUGAGUUACAUUAUAGUUUUGAAAUCUUUUCAUGGAGUUUUAGGGGUAGGAAUAAUUAAUUUAUCUAGAAGAAGGAAAAAUUAAUUUAAUUGCAUCCUAGGGAAAAAAAAAAUGAAGAGAAAAUUGAGUUUAACUCAGGUAAAGAUGGGGCAACAAAUUUAAUUAAAGACAGCCUGACUGUGUUAUUGAUUAAAUGCAAAGAACAUAAAAUAAUAAUGUAAACGUUAGGAAGUGAAAAGUUUAAAUAAGAACGCAAAUAAAAUGAGUUUUCAAUUUUUAUUUUAUUAUUGCAACUUUCACCCUGUUCGUGUUCAGAGAACAAAAGAAAAAGAAAAAAGGAUAAUAAGAAUUAAUUGGAUGGUCUUUCGCAAAUGCACCAUAAUUAGAAAAGUUAUAUAGACAGGAAAUCUUGGAGGCAUGCAGCACAGAUUUAAUGGAGGGAAAAGCUCAGAAGAUAAAGAGAGUACAUAGCCUAAACUAUGCAACUUUUGAUCCAUGAUUUGAGCACCUUCCAAUGGGGAGAGAGAGAGAGAGAGAUCUAGAGAGAGAGAGAGAGAGAGAGAGAGAGAGAGAGAGAGAGAAUAGAGGAGAAGAUGUAAGGGGCUAUGACCUGCAUAUGAGGAAUGCAUGAUGCAUCACUUGAUUUGGAAGAAAUUAUUGCCUGCUCCGGGUGUAUCAACAUCCAUAAAUGUUUGGCAUCAUCACAAUCAACAUUUGAAGAUUAUGUCUCGGCUCCUGUUUAGUUGACUCGGGAGAAGAUUUAAGGGGUAUUUAUAUAGUGUGUACAACUACUAUGCUUCCGGAAGUAUAAAGGCAUUGAUGCUUUUGACUUUUUAACCAUUGGAUCAAAAAUCGUAGGGUUAGGAUGAUAGUGCUCCCUCUAAAGUUUAGUGAUCCUCGUAGGAUAAUAAUAUUAAUCCAAAGAUUAAAAAUGAUAAAAGAAAUUUAUCCAAAAUUAAAAAAUUAGAAGCACCGCAUGACUGGUGCUUCUAGAAUCACUAUAGUUGGACUAUUUAUAUAGAAAGAGAGAGAGAAAGAGAGGGUUCAGAUACUAUGCUAUUAAUAGUACCAACUAGAUGGUAUUGCCGACUUUUCCGCCGUUAGAUCUACCCCUUUAGCCAUUUUCACCCUUUAGGUCAUACUAUUUCACCAACCACCAAUCACUAAACCCAAGUGGACCACUAUCAUUCUAACCACACAUCUAUUCAUUCAAGGACCAAAAAUCUAAUAGUACCAAUGACUUGGUUCUAUUAAUAGUAUAGUAGCCUAGUUAUAGUGUGUGACCUGGUUCUAUUAAUAGUAUAAUAGCUUAAUUAAUUAUAUGUGUGUGACCUGGUUCUAUUAAUAGUAUAGUAGCCUAGUUAUAUGUGUGUGUCCGUGGAGUGAACCAUUUGCUUUGGGGAAAUUAAGUUUUCAUGUCAAACGAAUUUGAAAGACAUAGUCUACAAUAUCUGAAAAGCGUGUGUACGUGUUAAUUUUUAAGUAAAGUAUAUGGAAGGUUUCUAAUAUUCCUUUGCUCAAGUUUUAAUUAAUUGAGUCACUAACCUUAUAAUUGUUGAGUUACGUUCUUAUUUACUAAUUAAGUUUCAAUUGAGUCCCUAACUUUCUAUAUAAUUGUUGUAAUUAUUUAAAAUAUGGUUUUUUUUCUAUCAUAAUCUUUGCUUAAUUGGAUGAAAUUUGUUACUACAAUAACAACGUAGCAUGGAUAAUUUUGAAUACUAAUUUCGUCCUAAUAAAAAAGAAGACACAUUUUAAUUUCUGCUAUUGGUUUUAGAAAUUAAUUACUUGCACUAUAAUAGAAUUAGGUUAUAGCGACACAUGUUUGGGACACUUUUGUAUAAGUGUCACAUUUAUGUCAAAACUUAAAAAAAUCCUACUAAUGUCUAAAUAUAAAGUCCAAUCCAACUAAAAAUAAAAAGGUACUCUACUCAACCCACUCCACUUAGCCCAUUCGGCCCGAUUACAAACAGAAAAAAAAAAAAAAAGAAAAGAAAAAGAAAAGAAAAUUUGAUUAUCAUUUUUCCUUCUCCCCUCACUCAAUUGACUGAAAUCCUAGACGAAGAUCAUUUCCCCUCGUCCUCCUCCGCCACCGCAACCAACGAGGUAGAGUUCCGGCGGUUGCUAGAUGCUUAAAUAAAUAUUGGUAAAUUAGCAGCACUCUUUUAGAUUAUAGCAACACUCUUUAACUGUCACUAUAUAUCUAGCGACCCCACAUAUAGCAACACUUUUCAAAAGUGUCGGUAAAUUUAGCCAGCAGCACUUUUUUGACCUAUACCGACAUUUAAAAGUGUCGCUAUAGACCGUUUUUGUUGUAGUGAAUUGAUUGUCCAGAAAAUGGAUUUUUAAAAUAUGUAACAUAA